GCCACGCAGCCUGGGGUACAGUGUCCCCGCUAGCCUGCUCUCUGAAGGCCGGGGUGUGCAGGGGCCACACGUGCGUGGGUGGACGUGCGGAAGUCCAGGGCUGCAGAGCACCCUCUGGAAUCCCCACCCGGGGUCUAGCUGGGGUCAGGGCAGGUGGGCCAUGGGCUGCCCUGGGCUCUUCAGCCGGAGACUGAGGGGCUUUGUUGCUGGCUCGGUGACCUCAGCCCCUGAGGGGCCUGCUCCAUGCCUCGGUCCCCACCUCAGCAAAAUGGGGGUGACAAUGAGGGCUCCCAGAUGGUGGUGGGGAUUCUAGGGACGAGGACGCGUAAAGCUUGGAAACUUCUGGAAGGCAUUAGCUGCUGUUAUUAUGAACUCAAGGUCUUAAAGUUCACUUUGACAUAGUCAUCUGUCUGCUUUGGAGCAUGUGCAGAUUUUUAUCUUGUUAUUUUUUCUUGUCAUUGGGUUUAUUUAAUCCAAAGAAAUGAUGAUGCCCGGUGGCAUUGGUGCCCUCCUGUCAUCUAGGACUCGGGAGGCUGAUGCAGGAGGACCACAAGUUAAAGGCCAGCCUCAGCCACUUAGCAAGAAUCUGUCUCAAAAAUCUCAAAAUAUAAGAACUGGAGACGUAGCUCAGUGAUAG
rnacentral:lncRNA from 1 species